UACGUAGGGUGCGAGCGUUGUCCGGAAUUAUUGGGCGUAAAGAGCUUGUAGGCGGUUUGUCGCGUCUGCCGUGAAAAUCCGGGGCUCAACCCCGGACUUGCGGUGGGUACGGGCAGACUAGAGUGUGGUAGGGGAGACUGGAAUUCCUGGUGUAGCGGUGAAAUGCGCAGAUAUCAGGAGGAACACCGAUGGCGAAGGCAGCUCGCUGGGACGGUACUGACGCUGAGGCGCGAAAGCGUGGGGAGCGAACAGG
rnacentral:rRNA from 1 species